AUGGUCACCCUGUCCCCAGAGGCUCCUUUCCCGAAGCCAGCCGCCUCGGCCUCCCAAAGUGCUGGGAUUACAGCCUGUCCCAAGCCAGAUGAUUUACCCUUUUCCAUAGUGGUCCCAUUAAAAACAUUCUAUGAGCCAGGAGAGGAGAUUACGUAUUCCUGCAAGCCGGGCUAUGUGUCCCGGGGAGGGAUGAGACGGUUUAUCUGCCCUCUCACAGGAAUGUGGCCCAUCAACACUCUGAAAUGUACACCCAGAGUAUGUCCUUUUGCUGGAAUCUUAGAAAAUGGAGCAGUACGCUAUACAACUUUUGAAUAUCCCAACACCAUCAAUUUUUCUUGUAAUACUGGGUUUUAUCUGAAUGGCGCUAAUUCUGCCAAGUGCACUGAGGAAGGACAAUGGAGCCCAGGGAUUCCUGUCUGUGCUCCCAUCACCUGCCCUCCACCAUCCGUACCUAUGUUUGCAACACUUCGUGUUUAUAAGCCAUCAGCUGGAAACAAUUCGUUCUAUCAGGACACGGCAGUUUUUGAAUGUUUGCCACAACAUGCGAUGUUUGGAAAUGAUACAAUUACCUGCACAACCCAUGGAAAUUGGACUAAAUUACCAGAAUGCAGGGAAGUAAAAUGCCCAUUCCCAUUAAGACCAGACAAUGGAUUUGUGAACUAUCCUGCAAAACCAGUACUUUAUUACAAGGAUAAAGCUACAUUUGGCUGCCAUGAUGGAUAUUCCCUGGAUGGCCCAGAAGAAAUAGAAUGUACCAAACUGGGAAACUGGUCUGCCAUGCCAAGUUGUAAAGCAUCUUGUAAAGUACCUGUGAAAAAGGCCACUGUCAAAAAAAAAAAAAAAAAAAAAAAAAAAAAAGCUCCUCACGCGCCCCAGUCUUCCCACGCCGCCCCGCCCAGGGCGCCCGGCGUCCCCUGCGACCGCGUCCGGGGCCGCCAACAACGCGGCGCCUUUGUGCGGGCGCACGCUACCUUUACUCGGCCACACGGGCCCUUCUCGGGGGCUUUCCUUAAAGGGGAAACGGCUGGAAGCGACGGAACACCGCCGCCCAGGGCGCCCCUCAGACUCGGGGUUACUACGGUUUCCCCACACUCGCAGCGUUAG